AGGACGGAGAUCGAAGACUAACA
rnacentral:piRNA from 1 species